UUGCAGUGUGAUAGCGAUCCUUCUACUUGGAGCUACAUCAAUGAUCAUGUUCAUUUUCAUAUAGGACAGUGGUAUGCUUCACUUGGAAUAUAUGAUGUGGCUGUCAAGCAUAAGAUGGAAAUCUUGGCCUGCAGUCACCAGUCCAAGGCAACACAGGAAUUAUUCCUUAGUGACUUUCUUCAAACUGUGAAG